GCCUCCCCUCAAUCAACCGGAGGGGGUAUGGAGCAUACUCCACCACGCUGCUCCAAUGCGGGUUGGUGGAGGUGUUUUUACGGCUAAUAGCCGGGACUAACGGCUUAACGUGCCCUCCGAAGCACGGAAUCAUCUUACUUUUUCAGACAAUCAGGUGAUUCAAGCCUGAAAAGUCCUUACCAA